GGACUACCAGGGUUUCUAAUCCUGUUUGAUCCCCACGCUUUCGUGCCUCAGUGUCAGUUGUAGUUUUGUAUGCUGCCUUCGCAAUGGGUGUUCUGUGUCAUAUCUAAGCAUUUCACCGCUACACGACACAUUCCACAUACAUCAAAUACACUCAAGAAUGACAGUAUCAAUGGCAGUUCUACAGUUAAGCUGCAGGUUUUCACCACUGACUUGACAUUCCACCUACGCACCCUUUAAACCCAGUAAAUCCGGAUAACGCUCGAAUCCUCCGUAUUACCGCGGCUGCUGGCAC
rnacentral:rRNA from 2 species